rnacentral:rRNA from 1 species
GUAUUAGAGGCACUGCCUGCCCAGUGACUGCAGUUAAACGGCCGCGGUAUCCUGACCGUGCAAAGGUAGCAUAAUCAUUUGUUCUCUAAAUAGGGACUUGUAUGAACGGCCCCACGAGGGUUUAACUGUCUCUUACUUUUAAUCAGUGAAAUUGACACUCCCGUGAAGAGGCGGGAAUUAAAAAAUAAGACGAGAAGACCCUAUGGAGCUUUAAUUAAUUAACUUACAAGUUAUAGCAUUAAUCUACAAGAGACAAAUUAAACUUGAUUAAGUUAACAAUUUGGGUUGGGGCGACCUCGGAAUAAAAAUUAACUUCCGAGAUAGAUAUGCUGGGGCCUACAAGCCAAAGUUGUCUUACUACAUAUUGAUCCGCCAACAGCGAUCAACGAAACAAGUUACCCUAGGGAUAACAGCGCAAUCCUAUUUAAGAGUCCAUAUCGACAUUAGGGUUUACGACCUCGAUGUUGGAUCAGGACAUCCCAAUGGUGCAGCAGCUAUUAAUGUGUUCGUUUGUUCAACGAUUAAAGUCCUACGUGAUCUGAGU